CUAAGAAUAUUCCGCAAUGGACGGAAGUCUGACGGAGCGACGCCGCGUGGAUGACGAAGGCCGAAAGGUUGUAAAGUUCUUUUGCUGGGGAAGAAUAACCGCAGGAGGGAAUGCCUGUGGGAUGACAAGAACCGGCGAAUAAGCCCCGGCCAACUACGUGCCAGCAGCCGCGGUAACACGUAGGGGGGCGAGCGUUGUUCGGAAUUACUGGGCGUAAAGGGCAUGUAGGCGGCUUGGAAAGCCUGGCGUGAAAGUCUGCAGCUUAACUGCAGGGGUGCGCUGGGAACUGCUGAGCUUGAGUGACGGAGAGGGAGCUGGAAUUCCUGGUGUAGGGGGUGAAAUCUGUAGAUAUCAGGAAGAACACCGAUGGCGAAGGCAAGCUCCUGGCCGAUGACUGACGCUGAGGUGCGAAAGUGUGGGGGAUCAAAACAGGAUUAGAUACCCUGGUAGUCCACACAGUCAACGAUGUGCACUAGGUGCUGGGGCGGUAGCUUCGGUGCCGGAGCGAACGUGGUGAGUGCACCGCCUGGGGAGUAUGCCGCAAGGGUGAAACUUAAAUGAAUUGAC
rnacentral:rRNA from 1 species